UACGGGGGGAGCAAGCGUUGUUCGGAUUUACUGGGCGUAAAGGGCGCGUAGGCGGUCAGCACAAGUCAGUUGUGAAAUCUCCGGGCUUAACUCGGAAAGGUCAACUGAUACUGUGCGACUAGAGUGCGGAAGGGGCAACUGGAAUUCUCGGUGUAGCGGUGAAAUGCGUAGAUAUCGGGAGGAACACCAGUGGCGAAGGCGAUCUUCUGGACGGAUACUGACGCUGAGGCGCGAAAGCUAGGGGAGCAAACGGG
rnacentral:rRNA from 1 species